rnacentral:rRNA from 1 species
AUACGUAGGUGGCAAGCGUUGUCCGGAAUUAUUGGGCGUAAAGCGCAUGUAGGCGGUGCCUUAAGUCUGUCGUGAAACUGCGGGGCCUAACCCCGUAUGGCGAUGGAAACUGAGGCACUUGAGUGCAGGAGAGGAAAGGGGAACUCCCAGUGUAGCGGUGAAAUGCGUAGAUAUUGGGAAGAACACCGGUGGCGAAGGCGCCUUUCUGGACUGUGUCUGACGCUGAGAUGCGAAAGCCAGGGUAGCGAACGGGAUUAGAUACCCCGGUAGUCCUGGCCGUAAACUAUGGGUACUAGGUGUGGGAGGUAUCGACCCCUUCCGUGCCGGAGUUAACGCAAUAAGUACCCCGCCUGGGGAGUACGGCCGCAAGGCUUAAACUUAAAGGAAUUGACGGGG